rnacentral:lncRNA from 1 species
AGGUUCCCAGGCUAGGGAUCGAAUCGGAGCUACAGCUGCUGGCCUGCACCAGAGCCACAGCAACGCCAGAUCCGAGCUGUGUCUGCGACCUACACCACAGCUCAUGGCCACACCAGAUCCUUAACCCACUGAGCGAGGCCAGGGAUCAAACUCACAACCUCAUGGUUCCUACUCGGAUUCAUUUCCACUGCACCAUGACGGGAACGCCAAUCCUACUUGACAGAUAAGAAAACAACAGCUCAGAUAAUAACUCACCCAAGGCCUCACGGUCCCUAAGGGAUAAAGCAAAGAUUUCUAACUUUUAUCCAUUAAAACUCCCAAAUCCUCACUGCCGCUCCUCUCAUGACAGUCUGUGAUAGCCGAUGAUAAUUAUAGCUAAGGUUGAGUAGGGAAUCACUAUGCUUGUUUGGACUUUACAACAAACCCACAGGAAGGUUUUUUAUUUCUAUACGUAACAGAAUAAGCCAAAGCCUAGGAGUCUUAGGACCUGCCGCAGGUCACACGGCCAAGAUCAGAGGGGUUGGAACUUGAGGCAGGGUGCUUAUUUCCAAAGCCUGCCCUGUACAUGGCUUUGGGUUCCACCAAAGAAGAGCAAACCAAUAUCGUCGCCACAUGACAAGCAGUGGGGUGAGUCUUAGAUGUGGCAAUAGUGGGGCCCUUUCCAGGGUCUACCUGAGUGAUUGAUCUUGGGGUGUGCUAUUCCACCUAACAGUGUACCAGCCCUGUGAACUGCCCAAGCAUCCCCACAUACCAGCCCUAUGAACUGUCCCACUGUCCCCAUGUACCACCCUGUGAACUGUCCCAGUGUCCCCACGUACCAUCCUGUGAAUUGUUCCAGAGUCCCCAUGUGUACCGUUCUCAUCUACCAUCCUAGUAUUUCUGGGUACCACUUCUACGUACCAUCCCAGCAUACCUAGGUACCAUGCCCACAUACCAAUGUUACAUCUCAACAUACCGUCUGACUGCACAAUCCCAGCGAAGCUAGGUUCCAGCCCACUAUACCACUGUACAGUCUCAGUGUCCCAUCCCAGUAUACCCAGUCCAAUCCUCUAUACCCAUACACUACCCUAGACUGCCAUGUACCAUCCGAGCAUACAGUCAUGGUGUACCCAUGUUCCAGCCCAACACACCUGUCUAUAUCCCAGUGAGGGCUCCAGAAAAAUCAAGAACCAUAGCUGUUUUCAGUGGAUGUAUACUGUAAUGAAUGCUUUAUUUCAAAAUGUUUGGAUAAGUGUCUGUUUGAAGACUUAUCUUGGCACUCUGGUCCCUUUCUUUGGUGCCAUACUUGAAUGGAACUUUCCAGGGAGGGGCCAUCCCUACAAGGCUUCCAUAGCUGCAUUUGCAAGAGAUGAGUUCCUUGGGUCGGGGAAUCCUCCAUCUCUCUCCACAGAGCCCAGCCAGCUCGUCUGCCUCUGAGAGGGAGGCAGGCCAGCUGUGCCAACCUCAGUGCAGGACUGUUUGAAAUUUCAUUCUACCCUGCCCCCAGGAAGGAUUUGGUAUUUCCUUCAAAGGAAAGGAAGGAAGGAAGGAGAAAGUUUGCUCCUUGCUAAGGUCCGUGCUGGUGCUUCAUAUCAGUGAUUUGAAUCUGUCAUCUGUUGCCGUGGUGGACCCAGUCUUAAGGAUGAGAAAACUGAUGGUCCGAGAAGCUGUUGCUUGGCUCAAAUCACAAGACUAAUUAAUGAUUAGGCUGGGAUUUGAACCCGGUCAUUAUGGCUCAAGUGCCCAUGGUCCUACACUAUUUCCCACAGGUUUUUGAUGGGCACAGUGAUUAGGAGACAGGCUGCUGGGGAGAAAAAACAAUGAUGUCCCUAUAAUCGGAGAGCAUCGUAGAAACCCAGGCUCACUCUCUCCCUUGAGUCAAGCUCCAGGGCAUCAGAUGAAUAGAACCUUAGCCUGCCCUCCCCCAAUAUACUUUGACUGCAUGGCUUGGUCUGUCUCAGACACCACCUCUCUUACAGGAAACUUGUGAAUAUCCACAUACUGGAGUGAGUAUGUCAAAACCCACACCACACAGAAAGGACCGCUCAGACUCCCCAAUUAGUGACACGGUGUCGCUUUCAAUUCUUUUCCAGGUGAAACUGGGCAGGCAGAAUUCUCAGCUGAGGUGAAAGACCUUUUUUUUCACUCUUUUACAAGAUACAUUUUUAAUUGGUUUGAAUUAAAAAAAGAAAGAAAGAAAAACUCCAAGGACAAACUGGUAUGACCUAGAUUGGGACAAGCAGGGGAGAAAAGAGAAAGGAAGGGGAGAAGAGACCUCUUCCAGGCCAUGGGUCAAGAGUGUGGACAGGAUUACAUAGGAGAAAAGGCACCCAAAGCCAGGUGAUGUGUUCCAUUUCGUACCUGGCAUCCAGAUGUUCUGCCAGAUUUCACUAUGGGGACACAGUGACCAGAGGAUUGGGCUCUAUAUUGGAUGGACUCUCAGGAGCCAGGAAUGGACAGGAAUGGCUUGGAGGUGAGAGGUCAGUGUACAUGAACCUAAGACUGUGUUAUCAGCCAAGGGUGAAUGUGGAAGCUGGGUUUAGUAGAGGCCCCAGGGCCAAGUCAUCUCUUUCAGGCUGGGAAGACACCUAGACUACAUUUCCCAGCAUCCUUUGCAGGUAAGAUACAGUCAUGUGACACCAUCCUAGCCAAUAGAAGGUGAGUGGGGGACAUGACGCCAUUUACAUCCUCGUCCAUAACCCUUUCCCACUUGAUCCUUUACCACCGCCUGCCCUACCUACUAGCCAAGUGGAGAGGAGAGGAGAGGUCUAGGGAACGGCAGGCACUCUGGAGUGCCUGUAGCACCCCUUGGAAGAGAGCCACCUAACUGGGAACACUCUUGUUGAAUUUGUCUCACAAAAUACUGAAUGUGGUCUGCAUAAAAAAUUGUAUGUUUUUUGCACUGAUAUUUUUAAAAAACAGCUAUUAACCUACUCUGAUCAGUAAACACGGUGUGUUAUGUCAAAGGCAAGGUAACACACUGAGAUCAGGAAGUGACCUAGGGAGAUUUGGGGUCCUUAACAACACAGGGCAACCAGAAGCGGCAGGGUGGUGGGGACAAACCACAUAAAGCUCCCACGGCAAGCACGGAAGAAAGAGCCUGGGCAUAGCCACACAGGCAGGGAGGGUCUGUAAGGACGCAGGAGCAAGGCAGACCCCACCCAUGCUCCUCUCCAUGAUGACCCGUUCCUCCUCCUCAUCUUCAUCCUAAACAUCACUCCCAGGUCCUGAGCCUUUCCCACUUGUCAGGUCUGGUACCAAGCACAAGCCAUGCUUUCUCUCAUUCAUUGCUCACAAUUACCCUCUGAAGGAGGCACUGCUAACGAUGUCGUUUUGCAGAUGAGAAAGGCUGACCUUAGAUCAUGCAAAAUGAUGUGUCCUGCCAUCUGGUGUGAACUACUGUUUACCGUCCCAGUAUAUCCACUGUUAAUAACUGCCUCAUCUCAGCGUGACCCCCAGGCCUGUUUACCUCUCCCUGCCCCUAAGAAUCCCAUCCCUCCAUGCAUUCUCCAUGCAGCUCCUCAUCCAUCCAUCCGUAUAUCCAUCCAUCCAUCCAUUUAUUCAUAAACAUGUUCUAAGUUCCUUCUGUCCCCCAGACCCAGUACCAGCCCUAGCACUAGAAUGGGAAGCACCAGAAGGUGUGUGCCUUGAGAGGCACCCAUCUGGGCAGGAGAGACAGUCACAGGAAGGUGUUACCAUUGGAACAGGGUGUGACCUGCUCAGACUUUGGAAAAAUUAUUUGGACCCAACACUAAGUGUCAGCCUGGAACCCGGAGUGACUGAAGACAGAGAAUGGACCAUGAAGGCAGCCAGGGCUGGGUCACAGGAGCUGGUCUAGGAGGGCCAUGAGAAGAAGGGGAGAUGUGAGGUGUCUCCCUGCAGAGGGCUGGGCAGGUGGACAAGAGUCACGUUAAAGGGACUCUACUGACUUCAGUUUUGAGCUGAACACAUCCUGGUUGCCAGCAGCCCCUCCUCUCAAUAAGGGGGAGACUUAUUGAGGAUCAUGUGACAGUUUCAUUUCCCUCAGAGCAUUCUUGGCACUUUCCUUCUUCUCUUUUCGCCCCUCUAUCCGGGGUUCGUUUCCUUCUGGAGGGGAACUGCACCGUGCAAAGCCCUGGCGCCUCUCCAAUGUUCCAGGAGAAGCCUGGCAGCCGCCUUCUGCCCCGCACCUGAAAUCUCUAUGAGGAGGGAGAGAUGGGAAAAUCAGCGACCAGGUCUCUUACAAAGCCGGAGCUAGCUGCUGGGUGCCAAGCGAUGCUAUCAAUUGAUUAAAACACAGCCUGCCAACUCUUCCUACUUGAUAAGGAGGAGUGCAGUCUGACUGCACUGACUGGAACUCUCCAGCCCAGCACCUAGGUUGCCACCUGCUCUUUUCCAGGCAUCAUCAGAUGUUCUGUGCGCGUGUCCACGCGGAGGGAAGCACUGAGCAUGCGCACAGGGAGGGUGGGGGGUAGCAGCUGCAGGAAGUAAGCACCAGGUGGCCGCUAGCACCCCACCUGGGAAAGAUGAGGUCACCGUGGACCAAGUGGGGGUUACAAGGGACAGGCUGUUGACUGCUCACAGUGCAUGCCAGGCCCCACAGGGCAGGCACAAUUCCUUCUUUCUGCCUUCCACGCAAAAAUGUGCAUCCGAACUUUAGCUCACAAACACUGCAGCAGGCAAAGGGGAUCCCAUGGGGCAGAUGGAAAAGGGGGCAGGGGAAGGGGGAAAUGAUUAAACUAAGGAGGAGGUGCCUGGUAUUAUGAGCGAGGUGAGGGACAGGAGGGACGCAGCCAGGAGGCUUCUCUGGGGAAGCGACAAUUGAGAAUGAAAAUAAGUGUUUACAUAUAUUAUUGUAAAAGAAGACUAAAUAUGAAAAAUUUGCAUUAUCGUGAAAAUUACUAUAAAAUAUUUUAAAUUUCUUCAUAUGAAUUAUUACAACAACUCAACAUCUCAAAGAAAUAGCUGGAUCCUUACAGAUGUAAUAGUUCCAGGACAUUAAGAAUUUUAUUUGAUUUUAUCAUUCUAGAUAGUUUUAAUUUUUGAUAUUUUUACAUUAUCUGCUACAUUCAGACAUGCCAGCCUCAAAUGCCAAAAUGAUUUCUUCUAUACUUAGAUUCCCUCCAUGGUUGUCAGUAAAUAUUGGACACUAAAUAGAGCAUCAUCAUAUUUGACAAAGAAAGGAAGGAAGGAAGGAAGGAAGGAAAGAAGGAAAGGAGGAAAGAAGGAAAGGAGGAAAGAAAGAAAGAAAGAAAGAAAGAAAGAAAGAAAGAAAGAAAGAAAGAAAGAAAGAAAGAAAGAAAGAAAGAAAGAGAAAAGCUGGGGUGGAGAAAGGGGCAAAGCUGGCACGAUUUGGAGCAAACAAGCAGGAAGCCUUGGGGUCCCUGGGGAGGGACAAGGUCUCCAUGCUAACAGUGUUAUAUCCUUAGACAAGCAGAGUGAGGUGACUGGUCCCCAGGAGGGCAGCAAGGCAAGCAUGUGAGGUGGCCUCAUG